AUACGUAGGUGGCGAGCGUUACUCGGAAUUACUAGGCGUAAAGGCGUAUGUAGGUGGUUAGAUAAGUCUAUGGUGAAAUUUCCUGGCUUAACUGGGAAGGGACAUAGAUACUAUCUGGCUUGAGUGUGGGAGGGGGAGACGGAAUUCCUGGUGUAGCGGUGAAAUGCGUAGAUAUCAGGAGGAACACCGAUGGCGAAAGCAGUCUCCUGGCCCAAUACUGACACUGAGGUACGAAAGCUAGGGUAGC
rnacentral:rRNA from 1 species